UGGUAUAUGGUUUAAUUUAAGAGACCCCUAGCGGCAGAGAAUUGUAUACAGUGUUGCUACGUUAAAUGGUAGUUAAACCUGUGCUGUUGGCAUGUAAAACGCAGGCUAUUUUAUGUAAUUGGUAUUAGUUUGUAGCUAGUUAGUUAACUAGUUAGCUAAAUACAGUCAGUGUCUCAGUACAAUGUGGUUUGGAAACAGUAACAGAAGAAACGUUUGAGACAGUCAACAAAAGUGCUUUGCGGUCGUGUGGAAUCGUUGGUAUUUUUCCCCGCUAGCUAGCUGACUAACGCUAAGUAGCUAGCUUCAAUGUUGCGACAGAAUACGAAAGUCUGAGGACACCGGGCGAAUUCUGUGUUCCAGUCGCCACCCUUAUGAAACACAAACCAUGGCAAUGCAAGGGAGGCCAGCACUCCUUCUAAUGUUGCAGCAUGAAGCGAAAUUACAAUCCAUCAUCCAGCCCCAUCCGACCAUAGCAGAGAGGGGAUAUUACUAUCUCACCGCUGCUCCAACAAGGUGAAGGACCAGGAUGUGAGAGUUGCCAGAGGGCCCUGACCCUCCGACAGUCCAAUGGAGUGCAUAGAUCUGAGGUUAAGUCAUCUGACCUGGCUGGCUGGUCACUCUCCUGCUUUUUCCCCAUAAUUACUGUUCAGACAACCCAACUUUUUCCCUUUCCUUCUCUUAAAUCAACACCAAUCCAUCCCUUCAGGCCCCCCGUAACCUCUCUAACACAGGGCACUGACAUAACCUGUACAUAUUGGUCUUCCAGAAUCCAUCUGCCAGAUUCAGCUUGAUUUAUCAAAUAUAUGUAAACACUUUUGUCACGGGUUUUGUUUGGGACUUUUUCAAAAGACAAUCCACGCUGAACUCUAGAAAACACCCAUUACUUUCUGCCGUAGUCCUGAAGCCACUUUAUGUUCAAAAGAUCUCAUACUUAAUAUUGAAAUAUUUAUAAAUAACACAGAAAACAUCAAAGAAUAGCUGUCUAUGUCCUGUCACAGUAGUCUUCAAAUGGAUGCUUUUCGCAGAUUUGUUAUGUUUUUUUUUGUCAUCUUAGUUAUAGUCCGUAGACAAGAGAAAGACUAAGAAAUAUGAGAAAGGGAGGAACUAGAUUACCAGUAAAGACAUGACAAAUGGUCACAGUCAAAUUUAAACUUCUGUGUGUGUGUGUGUGUGUGUUUGUGUUUGUGUGUGUGUGUGUGUGUGUACACUGUCAAUGCACUAAACUUAUGCAUUCAAGCCGCUGCAAUACAAAUCCAAACAGCUUGUUCUCUCUCACUUGUUUAUUCCGGCAUCAGACAUACAUAUGUAACUACUGCUGCCUGCCUGAUCUUAAGUGGAUGCAAACCAACCCGGGAAGAGAGGAACAACUAAGGACUAAAGGAGCAAGAAAGGGAGAAAUAAAUACAAGAGAAAGAGUACACAGAGGGAGAGGGAGAGAUGAAGAUGAAUAAAUUGAAAGCAAGCAAAGGAGAAAGAAAUGAAGUGAAAGAGAGAGAGAGAGCAGCGUAGCUGCUGUCAGCGGAGGCCCACCACAGUGAAACACUAACUGUAGCGACAGGCUGAUGAGUCAGUGUCUGUUUAAAUGGCAGCUUGUCAGGCCUCCAGCUCUGAGGUGGGCUGCCGACCUGUCAGGGCCUGCGCCACAUUAACCAGCUGACCCUAUCAUCCUUAACAUUGCUCCGCCACCGAGCCGCCUGUCACUAACUCUGCCAUUUGGCUUUCCAGAGAUCUGCCAGAGAGGGCAGGCACAGCCACCUCUUAGUGUUGUUUAUUGAUUUCUGACCCGUCGUGUAAUAGUUUUCCCAGUCCCCCUGAAUGGCUUUUGUAAGCAAUAGGGUUUGUACAUCUCACAGAUCAAUACCUUUUAUAUUUACAAUAAAAUUGAAACGGCUUCUUGGUGGGUCUCACAGCACCUCGGCAUUUGUCAUCCUUC